ACAAGCGAGCGGCGGACGGGUGAGUAACACGUGGGUAACCUACCCAAGAGACUGGGAUAACACCUGGAAACAGAUGCUAAUACCGGAUAACAACACUAGACGCAUGUCUAGAGUUUGAAAGAUGGUUCUGCUAUCACUCUUGGAUGGACCUGCGGUGCAUUAGCUAGUUGGUAAGGUAACGGCUUACCAAGGCAAUGAUGCAUAGCCGAGUUGAGAGACUGAUCGGCCACAUUGGGACUGAGACACGGCCCAAACUCCUACGGGAGGCAGCAGUAGGGAAUCUUCUACAAUGGACGAAAGUCUGAUGGAGCAACGCCGCGUGAGUGAAGAAGGGUUUCGGCUCGUAAAGCUCUGUUGGUAGUGAAGAAAGAUAGAGGUAGUAACUGGCCUUUAUUUGACGGUAAUUACUUAGAAAGUCACGGCUAACUACGUGCCAGCAGCCGCGGUAAUACGUAGGUGGCAAGCGUUGUCCGGAUUUAUUGGGCGUAAAGCGAGUGCAGGCGGUUCAAUAAGUCUGAUGUGAAAGCCUUCGGCUCAACCGGAGAAUUGCAUCAGAAACUGUUGAACUUGAGUGCAGAAGAGGAGAGUGGAACUCCAUGUGUAGCGGUGGAAUGCGUAGAUAUAUGGAAGAACACCAGUGGCGAAGGCGGCUCUCUGGUCUGCAACUGACG
rnacentral:rRNA from 1 species